rnacentral:rRNA from 1 species
GGGGGCAACCCUGGCGGCGAGCGGCGAACGGGUGAGUAACACAUCGGAACGUACCCAAUCGUGGGGGAUAACACAUCGAAAGAUGUGCUAAUACCGCAUAAGUCCUGAGGGAGAAAGCGGGGGAUCGCAAGACCUCGCGCGAAUGGAGCGGCCGAUGUUCGAUUAGCUAGUUGGUGGGGUAAAGGCCUACCAAGGCGACGAUCGGUAGCUGGUCUGAGAGGACGACCAGCCACACUGGAACUGAGACACGGUCCAGACUCCUACGGGAGGCAGCAGUGGGGAAUUUUGGACAAUGGGGGCAACCCUGAUCCAGCCAUUCCGCGUGGGUGAAGAAGGCCUUCGGGUUGUAAAGCUCUUUCGGCAGGAACGAAACGGUGAAGGCUAAUACCUUUUACUAAUGACGGUACCUGAAGAAGAAGCACCGGCUAACUACGUGCCAGCAGCCGCGGUAAUACGUAGGGUGCGAGCGUUAAUCGGAAUUACUGGGCGUAAAGCGUGCGCAGGCGGUUUUGUAAGACAGCUGUGAAAUCCCCGGGCUCAACCUGGGAACUGCGGUUGUGACUGCAAGACUGGAGUGUGGCAGAGGGGGGUGGAAUUCCACGUGUAGCAGUGAAAUGCGUAGAGAUGUGGAGGAACACCGAUGGCGAAGGCAGCCCCCUGGGUCAACACUGACGCUCAUGCACGAAAGCGUGGGGAGCAAACAGGAUUAGAUACCCUGGUAGUCCACGCCCUAAACGAUGCCAACUAGGUGUUGGGAAAGGAGACUUUCUUAGUGCUGUAGCUAACGCGUGAAGUUGGCCGCCUGGGGAGUACGGUCGCAAGAUUAAAACUCAAAGGAAUUGACGGGGACCCGCACAAGCGGUGGACGAUGUGGAUUAAUUCGAUGCAACGCGAAAAACCUUACCUACCCUUGACAUGUCAGGAAUCCCGGAGAGAUUUGGGAGUGCUCGAAAGAGAACCUGAACACAGGUGCUGCAUGGCUGUCGUCAGCUCGUGUCGUGAGAUGUUGGGUUAAGUCCCGCAACGAGCGCAACCCUUGUCAUUAAUUGCCAUCAUUCAGUUGGGCACUUUAAUGAGACUGCCGGUGACAAACCGGAGGAAGGUGGGGAUGACGUCAAGUCCUCAUGGCCCUUAUGGGUAGGGCUUCACACGUCAUACAAUGGUCGGUACAGAGGGUUGCCAACCCGCGAGGGGGAGCCAAUCCCACAAAGCCGAUCGUAGCCCGGAUUGGAGUCUGCAACUCGACUCCAUGAAGUCGGAAUCGCUAGUAAUCGUGGAUCAGCAUGUCACGGUGAAUACGUUCCCGGGUCUUG